UAGAGUUUGAUUCCUGGCUCAGGACGAACGCUGGCGGCGUGCCUAAUACAUGCAAGUCGAGCGGACUUGCUGGAGCUUGCUCCAGCAGGUCAGCGGCGGACGGGUGAGUAACACGUGGGCAACCUGCCUGUAAGACUGGGAUAACUCCGGGAAACCGGAGCUAAUACCGGAUAGUAUCUUGAACCGCAUGGUUCAAGUUGGAAAGACGGUUUCGGCUGUCACUUACAGAUGGGCCCGCGGCGCAUUAGCUAGUUGGUGAGGUAAUGGCUCACCAAGGCAACGAUGCGUAGCCGACCUGAGAGGGUGAUCGGCCACACUGGGACUGAGACACGGCCCAGACUCCUACGGGAGGCAGCAGUAGGGAAUCUUCCGCAAUGGACGAAAGUCUGACGGAGCAACGCCGCGUGAGUGAUGAAGGUUUUCGGAUCGUAAAACUCUGUUGUUAGGGAAGAACAAGUGCGAGAGUAACUGCUCGCACCUG
rnacentral:rRNA from 2 species